ACUCCUACGGGAGGCAGCAGUGGGGAAUAUUGCACAAUGGGGAAGCCCAUCGAUGCAGCCAUGCCGCGCUGUGUGAAGAAGGCCAAUUCGGGCUUUGGUUAAAGACACUUUUCAGUAGGGAGGAAGGUAGUGUAGUUAACACCUGCAUUAUUUGACGUUACCUACAGAAGAAGCACCGGCUAACUCCGUGCCAGCAGCCGCGGUAAUACGGAGGGUGCGAGCGUUAAUCGGAAUUACUGGGCGUAAAGCGCAUGCAGGCGGCCUGUUAAGUCAGAUGUGAAAGCCCGGGGCUUAACCUCGGAAUUGCAUUUGAAACUGGCAGGCUAGAGUCUUGUAGAGGGGGGUAGAAUUUCAGGUGUAGCGGUGAAAUGCGUAGAGAUCUGAAGGAAUACCAGUGGCGAAGGCGGCCCCCUGGACAAAGACUGACGCUCAGAUGCGAAAGCGUGGGGAGCAAACAGGAUUAGAUACCCUGGUAGCGUCGUCU
rnacentral:rRNA from 1 species